GGGGAUCGCAAGACCUUAUGCUUUUGGAGCGGCCGAUGUCUGAUUAGCUAGUUGGUGGGGUAAUGGCCUACCAAGGCGACGAUCAGUAGCUGGUCUGAGAGGAUGGCCAGCCACACUGGGACUGAGACACGGCCCAGACUCCUACGGGAGGCAGCAGUGGGGAAUUUUGGACAAUGGGCGCAAGCCUGAUCCAGCAAUGCCGCGUGAGUGAAGAAGGCCUUCGGGUUGUAAAGCUCUUUCAGUUGAGAAGAAAAGAACGUGAAUAAUACGCGCGUUUUAUGACGGUAUCAACAGAAGAAGCACCGGCUAACUACGUGCCAGCAGCCGCGGUAAUACGUAGGGUGCGAGCGUUAAUCGGAAUUACUGGGCGUAAAGGGUGCGCAGGCGGUUCUGAAAGUCAGAUGUGAAAUCCCUGGGCUUAACCUAGGAAUUGCGUUUGAAA
rnacentral:rRNA from 1 species